rnacentral:rRNA from 1 species
GAUGAACGCUGGCGGCGUGCUUAACACAUGCAAGUCGAACGUGAUCCCGAUUUCGGUUGGGUGAAAGUGGCGAACGGGUGCGUAACACGUAGGUGACCUGCCCCGAGGUGGGGGAUAACUGUGGGAAACCAUGGCUAAAACCCCAGAUGUCUAAAUUACUAGAAGGUUUAGACUAAAACUCCGGUGCCUCGGGAGGGGCCUGCGGGCUAUCAGCUAGUUGGUGAGGUAAUGGCUUACCAAGGCUAAGACGGCUAGGGGGCGUGAGAGCGUGACCCCCCACAAUGGAACUGAGACACGGUCCAUACUCCUACGGGAGGGCAG